rnacentral:rRNA from 1 species
GAUGAACGCUGGCGGCGUGCCUAAUACAUGCAAGUCGAGCGAACGGACGAGAAGCUUGCUUCUCUGAUGUUAGCGGCGGACGGGAGAGUAACACGUGGAUAACCUACCUAUAAGACUGGGAUAACUUCGGGAAACCGGAGCUAAUACCGGAUAAUAUUUUGAACCGCAUGGUUCAAAAGUGAAAGACGGUCUUGCUGUCACUUAUAGAUGGAUCCGCGCUGCAUUAGCUAGUUGGUAAGGUAACGGCUUAUCAAGGCAAUGAUGCAUAGCCGACCUGAGAGGGUGAUCGGCCACACUGGAACUGAGACACGGUCCAGACUCCUACGGGAGGCAGCAGUAGGGAAUCUUCCGCAAUGGGCGAAAGCAUGACGGAGCAACGCCGCGUGAGUGAUGAAGGUCUUCGGAUCGUAAAACUCUGUUAUUAGGGAAGAACAUAUGUGUAAGUAACUGUGCACAUCUUGACGGUACCUAAUAAGAAAGCCACGGCUAACUACGUG